ACUCGACUAAACCUAAAGGCGCAAUGAAAGUGAAGGUCCGCCUCGCGCGGACCGAGGGAGGAUGGGCCGGCCCUCGGGCAGGCCCCGCACUCCCGGGGCGUCUCGUUCUCAUCGCGAGAAGAGGCGCACCCAGAGCGUACACGCUGGGACCCGAAAGAUGGUGAACUAUGCCUGGUCAGGACGAAGUCAGGGGAAACCCUGAUGGAGGUCCGUAGCGAUUCUGACGUGCAAAUCGAUCGUCGGAACUGGGUAUAGGGGCGAAAGACUAAUCGAACCAUCUAGUAGCUGGUUCCUUCCGA
rnacentral:rRNA from 1 species